GCCGACUUCCAUGGCCACCGUCCUGCUGUCUUUAGUUACUAACGCCUUUUGUGGGGUCCGAUAUGCGUUGAUUUUGGCACUAUAACUUUACGACCGGUUCAUCCCGCAUCGCCAGUUCUGCUUACCAAAAAUGGCCCACUAAAGGCCUUUACUAUCUAUCCAUUUGCUACGUAAUGCACGCUAGCUAAUGGAAAACACACACAUUAACAGUUUGAGAAUAGGUUGAGAACGUUUCGAACCCAACGACUCUAAUCAUUCGCUUUACCGCAUGUGACUAUCAUUACUAGACCUCAGCUAUCCUUAGGGAAACUUCGAAAGGAACCAGCUACUAGAUGGUUCGAUUGGUCUUUCGCCCCUAUACAUAGUUCUGAUGAUCGAUUUGCACGUCAGAACCAUUGCGGACCUCCACCAGAGUUUCCCCUGGCUUCAUCCUUUCCAUGCAUAGUUCACCAUCUUUCGGGUUCCAGAGCACGAGCUACGAGUACGGCAGCGCCAUUGCUGACGCAUAAUUGCCAUCUCCGAUUUGCCUAAACGCUUAUAAAUACAUAUAGAGCGUCUCAUCAUACAAAAUUCGAGCUGUCGAAACAACUCUCGAUUGCUUUCGUUAAGUUUGACGGAUUCUAUUAAAAUGAACCUUUGCGUCACGCUCGUUCGCUGGACUCCUUGGUCC
rnacentral:rRNA from 1 species